AGAGUUUGAUCCUGGCUCAGGAUGAUUGCUGGCGGCGUGCCUAACACAUGCAAGUCGAGCGAGAAGCUCAUGAUAGAUACUUCGGUUGAUAGAUUGAGUGGAAAGCGGCGGACGGGUGAGUAACGCGUAGGCAACCUGCCCCUUACAGAGGGAUAGCCUCGGGAAACCGGGAUUAAAACCUCAUAAUGCCUUUUUAUGACAUCAUAGGAAGGUCAAAGAUUUAUCGGUAAGGGAUGGGCCUGCGUCUGAUUAGCUGGUUGGUGGGGUAACGGCCUACCAAGGCAACGAUCAGUAGCCGACCUGAGAGGGUGAUCGGCCACAUUGGAACUGAGACACGGUCCAAACUCCUACGGGAGGCAGCAGUGGGGAAUAUUGCACAAUGGGGGAAACCCUGAUGCAGCAACGCCGCGUGAAGGAUGAAGGCCCUUGGGUCGUAAACUUCUGUUCUAAGGGAAGAUAGUGACGGUACCUUAGGAGCAAGUCCCGGCUAACUACGUGCCAGCAGCCGCGGUAAUACGUAGGGGGCAAGCGUUAUCCGGAAUUAUUGGGCGUAAAGAGUACGUAGGCGGUUAUCUAAGCAUGGGGUUUAAGGCUAAGGCUUAACCAUAGUUCGCCCCAUGAACUGGACUACUUGAGUGCAGGAGAGGAAAGCGGAAUUCCUAGUGUAGCGGUGAAAUGCGUAGAUAUUAGGAGGAACACCAGUGGCGAAGGCGGCUUUCUGGACUGUAACUGACGCUGAGGUACGAAAGUGUGGGGAGCAAACAGGAUUAGAUACCCUGGUAGUCCACACCGUAAACCCUUAACAGUAGGUGUCGGGUACGUUAGUAUUCGGUGCCGAAGUUAACGCAUUAAGUUGCUCCGCCUGGGGGAGUACGUGCGCAAGUAUGGAAACUCAAAGGGAAUUGACGGGGACCCGCACAAGCAGCGGAGCAUGUGGUUUUUAUUCGAAGCAACGCGAAGAACCUUACCAGGGCUUGACAUCCUUCUGACAGAACCUUAAUCGGUUCAUUCUUCGGACAGAAGUGACAGGUGGUGCAUGGUUGUCGUCAGCUCAUGUCGUGAGAUGUUGGGUUAAGUCCCGCAACGAGCGCAACCCCUAUUGUUAGUUGCUACGCAAGAGCACUCUAGCGAGACUGCCGUUGACAAAACGGAGGAAGGCGGGGACGACGUCAAAUCAUCAUGCCCCUUAUGUCCUGGGCUACACACGUAAUACAGUGGUGGUAAACAGAGGGAAGCAAUACUGCGAAGUGGAGCAAAUCCCUAAAAGCCAUCUCAGUUCGGAUUGCAGGCUGCAACUCGCCUGCAUGAAGCUGGAAUCGCUAGUAAUCGCGGAUCAGCAUGCCGCGGUGAAUACGUUCCCGGGCCUUGCACUCACCGCCCGUCA
rnacentral:rRNA from 1 species